AUUGAACGCUGGCGGAAUGCUUUACACAUGCAAGUCGAACGGUAGAGGGGGCAACCCCUCGAGAGUGGCGAACGGGUGAGUAAUAUAUCGGAACGUGCCCAGUCGUGGGGGAUAACGUAGCGAAAGUUACGCUAAUACCGCAUACGAUCUACGGAUGAAAGCGGGGGAUCGCAAGACCUCGCGCGAUUGGAGCGGCCGAUAUCAGAUUAGGUAGUUGGUGGGGUAAAAGGCUCACCAAGCCAACGAUCUGUAGCUGGUCUGAGAGGACGACCAGCCACACUGGAACUGAGACACGGUCCAGACUCCUACGGGAGGCAGCAGUGGGGAAUUUUGGACAAUGGACGCAAGUCUGAUCCAGCCAUUCCGCGUGCAAGGAUGAAAGGCCCUCGGGUUGUAAAACUGCUUUUGUUACGGAACGAAAAAGGUUUACUCUUAAUA
rnacentral:rRNA from 1 species